ensembl:lncRNA
UUGGUGGUCACAAAUAGUGGGUCAUGACAUAAAAAUGGCACUACAGGUUAAGGAUACUGACCACCUGUGU